AAAAAUACACUCAUGCCUCACCUAUAUUUUAUCCACUCAUUUUCUCUCACACACCUUCUCCUUGCUUCCCUUUCACACACUCUUUCUUCCAUACACAUACAAUACAUACAUCAACUAUAUUUAUGGAUAACAAUGACGGUGGGCUGCACUUCUACAAGGCUCUCAUGUGGCAGUAAAGUUCUGGAUAAUUUCAUUAUGGCGGUAAUUUUUUAUGAAAUUGGAUUCUUCUUUCUUCUUCUAGACUUGGAUGCUUUUGUGCAAAUUUAUUUUCUUUACAGUCAUCUAUGAAUGGCGGUAAAUAUAAAAGCAAUUCUAGAACAUUCUCUUCAAGUAAAUUCUGGAAGACGAUGAACACUUUUGUGUUCAAGUCAAUGUUAUCUUCUUCGGGCAGGAGGGUGUUAACUUGUGCAGCAGGGUUUUCCAAGGUUUCUUCAAACUGAUUUCACAAAAGUUUUGCAACAGGGGUGUCUCUGUCUGCCUCUAAAUGCCUAAAUGUUAAAUCUGAAUUUGUGAUUCAAUAAAAAAAUAAAUAAAUAAAAAACCUAAAAGUUGGAGGUUCAAGUGACCCACCCGAAUCCACCGUAGGUCCGUGCCAGUGAUAAGAACAAUUAGUCGAGGAAUGAAGAAUUUAUUAAUGUGGAGAAAAAAAAAUAUGCCUCCAAAUAACGCUAUCAAAAACAAAUUGAUUUUAUCCAAUGCUUGAACCUUGUGUGGGUUAUAGCUACUUUCAAUCAUUACCUAAACUUCAAAAAAAAUUGUGAAGACAAAAAAAUUUUCAAAUUGGUUCCCGCUCGUGAAAUUCACAUCCCCACACAAAUAUAAAUAUUUUCUUUAUUGAGAUGUUCAAUUAUAGUUUGCUCUCAAAUCACUUAUUUCUUUUACCACUAUAAUAUUGCUGCUAAUAGACAAUGUCAAAAAUCUAGGUAUGUGAUGAUUCUCCUCAAAGUUUAGGGUUUCGAUAAUUAAGCUUAUACUAAGUCAAAUCCACUAAUUAUCUAAGCCCCCAAUGAUGAUUUCUAGAUUUUUAAAGACUAAAGGAUAUUGGGUUUUGAGAUACCUCUACGGACUUACUAACUAGGGGUCAAAAAGGCUACAAAGUGAGGCAUAGGAUGUUAAUGCAAUGGACUUAGAUCCUUAGUAUGUUUUCAUUACCUAGUUUAUACUUGUUAGUCAAAGACACUCCACACAAAUAUAAUCAACAACCAUGAAAUCAACACAAUUCUGGAUAAUCUCCUUUACCGACUCGGCCACCCGCAAACAUAUCUCACAAUGGGGUUAAGUAGAUAAUAUAUGUAGAUAAAAAUUUACAAAUAACUCACAACUUGUUCCUAUAAAUUCACAAAUCUCUCCAUCAAUCAAUAAUUUUCAGACCUAAACAACAAUUGGUCAUGACUAUUGUGUUCAAAAUAAUUUAGAUCUUACAUGGAUAUGAUUUCCCCCCCCCCCCCCCCCAAAUUAGGCACAAAUAACAAAUUUGUUUAUAAGUUAUAAAUCAAUAACAAUUUCAAACUUUAAACCAUCUUUAGUUGACAAUACUAUCUAACAUGUCAAGUACAGUUACAAAAAAGAAAAUCAUCACCUCCAAACUUAUGAAUCAAUAAUAAUUUCAAACAUGAAACCAUCUUUAGUCGACAAUGCUAUCUAACAUGUCAAGUACAGUUACCACAAAGAAAAUCAUCACCCCCAAACUCGAAUUACAUAUUGUCCUCAAUGUGUAAGAGAACAUAACAAGAGAGAAUAGGGGGUUAACGAAACUUCCCUAUUGAAUGUUUGUUGAAGGAUGCUCACGAUAGAAUUGGGUUUGUGAUCUUCUUGUGUAAUAAUUUACUGCCAAACUUGUUGAGAACCAUGGUCAAAUAGGACUUCAAAAAUUACCUUAAAAAAAUGAUAGCUACAAUAAUUUAAUGGCCAAAUAUAUGAAAGACAUUCAAUACAAUAAUAUAUAUACAUGAAAAUAAACACUUAGAUAUUAAAAAGCAAGUGUUGAAAUCAAUAAAACUAGAUUAAGCUACAUCAACCAUCCAAACAUCAAGAACUUAGCUCAUUUUAUAUAUAUAAAAAAAGAAGAAGAUUUGGAGAAACAGAUUACAUGUUCUUACAUAAAAUAUUGGGUAAAAUAUAACAUAAAAUUUUAAAAUCCUUCCCUUGAUUGGAUUUUUGAAAUGAUUAUUGGCUUGGUAUUAACUUUAUCCCAAAAUCUGUCCACCUCUAUUUUUCUCCUCCUCUUUCGCUUAUGCCCUAGUUCUUCUCUAAAAAAUAGGGAAUAAAAAUGGUGGAUAAUGGGUUCAAUCAAGAAUGGGUUAAUGGUUGAACUUUUGGCAUUUAAAUGCCCUAAAACUUACAUCUAAAAAUUGCAAAAAAAGCCCCUCCAAAAAUAGAAAUGGAAAAAAGGGCUGGGCAUUGCUGCCCAGUCGAGAAACAGCGUAUACGUGCAGCUUCAGCAAAGCACAUGCACGAUAUUGCACUUGGUCAUUCAACCCAAGUGCGAGAGCCGAACCUACGAGCGGGGCUCGGUCUUGUACCCAUUUUUUCGACCUAAGUCCCCCAAAAUUGAAUGUUCAAUCUCUUAACUUUGAUUUUGUAUAUUUUGUUAAGCAAAUUUAAAUUUUAUUUCAAUCAUACAUGUAUAAUUUACACAAAAGGUCCUUCAACUUUUAGCUCUUAUCCACUCUAGUCCCCAACAUCAUAAUUUUGUACAUUUUUAGUCAUUUUUUCUCUUCCUUUUGCAUAGUUCUAUUUUAAAUUUGGGAUUUAGAUCUAUAAAAGCAAUAAUUACACAACUAUGAGUAAAAAUUCACUCCCUUAAUCAAUAUUAAGCUCUUUAGGGCAUCUCUAAUGAAUGCCCCAAAUCACCAAAAUACACCAAAUUUUGUUGCAAAACCUCUUCAAUGUAGCACCAAAGUUUGUACAAUUUUGGUACAAAAUGAUGCAAAGUGAAUAGUAUUUGGUACAACGCUAUUCACUCUACACCAUUUUGCACCAAAUAGUGCAAAGUCGAAUUUACCAUUUUCUUCUAUUUGCCGUACUAAUUGAUGGACGGUAUUUGUGUCAUUUGUGACAAUAAAUUUUUAUUAUUAUAGUUCUUAUUACGAUUAAUAAUAAAAAUAAAAUAAAUUUUAUUAAUGUAAAAAAUAAAAUUUUAUAUUUAUUAAUGAGUUUAAUAUUUUCGCUAGUUUAAUGUAAUUAUAUAUUUAGUAAUUUAUGUAUUUGUAACAUAAAUAAAGAAAUAUUUUUUCAAAUAAAUAAAUUAUUAAGAAUAAAAAAAGAGAAGAAAAGGAUUAAACAUUGCUCAUUUGGGAUAAGUCUUGGGUAAUAGUUGGAGAUGCUUUUUAGUUUAAUGUAAAAUUUGGUGUAAAAUGGUGCAAAACUUACCUCAAAUUGUGUUGAAGUCUUUUAAUUAAUUACGAGCUACAAAAAGAGUCCAAUAUUGAUGUAUUAAAACUCGCUCUAUAAAAAACUAAUUAUUUGACCCAAAAAUAUAAGAAUUUAAAAUAUUUUACAUUAGUCCCUCAAUUUCAAAAUAUAAAUAUAUAGCAUACAGAAUAAAUAAAUUUUAUUCUAUAAAAUUUUUGGGACGUUGCACUAAAUCUAAAGAGGAUUGGAUUCUGGAUUAAACAUUUGCAUUACAUGUGUGUCCUAAUAUGAAACAGUAUCCAAACGUGUCGGAAUUAUGGGAAACAGCGUACCUUGUGGAAUUGCUAGAAUUGGUAAGAUUGGAUUGAAGCUAAUAGAUGGGACAAUUAGAACACUUUGCCAGGUUCAACAUGUUCCAAAUUUGAAAAUAAAUCUCAUCUCAUCAUUUAUCCUUGAUUCAAAGGGUUAUAAGUUCUUUGGUGGAGGCGAAGCAUUGAAUGUUUGCAAAGGUGCCAAGGUUGUAUUGGACGGACAAAAAAUGUCUCAGUUAUACAUCUUGUAGGUUCGUACAGAAUCUAGAAAAAUUAAUCAGCACAAGUUCAGUGCUUUAGCGGACAUUCAGCUUGAUAUAGUACCUUUAGGAUUUUGUAUAGGGUCGGAUUUGAAGAAUGUAGCUUAGCUGAGUUCAGAAGAUACGGGUAAUGUCGCUUUGCUACCAUUGCCUGAGAUACUAUUGUAUUCAAUUGCUAGGGACAGACCAGUGGAGAAAGGUAUUUGGAUGCUGAUUUUGUUGGGCAUGCUUUUAGCGUCGUAGAAGGUGUACAAUUUAGCAAGGGGCCUUCUGUACAAACAUUUAGGAUUGAUUAUGCUUCAGGGUGUGUUACAGCCUUGGUUGGUAAAUUUAAAAUCUUUAUGUUUUUUUAUUGAAUCUGAGCUAAUUUUGCAUAAUUGUGCUUGGAUUCAUCUAUUCAGGUUAGAUACAGUGGAAGAGGUGGAGUAUUUUUUUUUUAUUUGUUGGAGAAAUUAGUUUUAGUUAUUGUUGAAGAGUUCAAUUCAUUCCUUGUAGUCCGGAUUUUCAUCUCCAGGUAUAGAAAUUUUUGGAGCUUUGUUCGUUGUAGUGGAAUUCGUAUCGAGGUGGAGAUUAUUAGAAUUUGGGUGUAUACACGUCAAGAUGAAUUCAAUUUUGGAAUACUAUUGGAAUCCUAUUAGAAGUUUAUUUGACAAAUUACUACUAAAAAACAUGACUUCAAGCACGGAUUUUUCGUUCCAGAAAUCUCGAUAUCCGUUGCUAUUACUCUUUACCAAUGGAAAUUUGCAACCGCGAAUCCGUUACUAAUUUGAGGGUCACUGAUAGUUACCAACAGAUCUUAUCGUAGGUAAAGAGUAAACAUUUUACCAACGAAUUUUUCGUUGGUAAAGUGUGAAUCUUUUACCAACGAAAUUUUCGUUGGUAAAAAUUAUAACUAAUACCAAUCGACUUUCCGUUGGUAAAUGUAUAUCAUUCCAAUUGGUAAAAAUCAAUAUUGUAAAUAGCCACAUAGGUGUAAGACAUGGUAAAAAAAAAUAUUAUUUAUUUAUUAUUAUUUAUUUAAUAAUUCUAAUUUUUUUAAAUUUUAACCAACCGAAUUGAAAGGCCAAAAUAUUAUUUAACCACUUAUUGGACUACAAAAUUAAUUUAUAGAGGGCAACUCCUAAAAUUUUAUUGGGAACUUUCGAUGUGGGAUAAGUGAAUUAUUUUUACCAACGGAUAAUCCGUUUCUAAUUACCAACGGAAUAUCCGUAGGUAAAAUAUCCAAAUGUUAAACGACUACAUGAGGUACGGAAUAUCCAUUGAUAUCUCCGUAGGUGAAAGAUCUAAAUGUUAAACGGUUAAAUGAAGCACGAAAUAUCCAUUGGUAAAGAGAUAUCAUCGUUAGCAACGGAAAAUUCGUUGCUGAUUAUCAUAGUUGAAAGUGAAUAACUUUUACCAACGGAUAAUCUAUUUCUAAUUACCAUCGGUUGGUAAUUUUCCAUUGAUAAAAAGCUGUUUUUUUUAGUAGUGAAAUUCUAGUUGAAGUUCUAUAUGGAAGCCCUAUUGGAAAUUGGAGUUUGUGUUGGACUUCAAGAGAUCGGGAUAAGGAAACUUUUGGACAUUCCAUUUCAUCUACAACUCUACUUCUAAGGCAUGGAUUGUUUCCUACAUAUACUUGGCUCAUCUCUACAAUUUAGUAUUAGGGUAGUUUAACAUCAGAUAUUACUAGAACUUUAGAUUCAUUGUGAGCAACACAAUUUGUAGAUUUCUCUAUUAUUGUUGAUUCAAUAAAAUCUCCUAAUUCCUCUACCAUAUUUUCUUGUCUUUUAUUAUUCUUUUGGUUGUGAUCAAAUACUUCAUAUUUUUCUAGACAACUUCGAUCUGAAUUACAGCAAACUGGUAUCAAAGUAAUUUCAGUAUCUCUUUGUUCUAAAAUAAGUGGUCAGAGCUGUCCAAUUUUCAAUAAAGUGGUUUAACAACCAGUUCGAAUUAUAACACUUUCCUUUUUGCCCGUGAAAUUCACAUCCCCACAUAAAUAUGACUAUUUUUCUUUAUUGAGAUGUUCACCUAUAGGUUACUGUCCGAUCACUUAUGUUUUUUAUCGCUCUAAUUUGGUUGGGCCUAACCAACAAUGUCAACAAUUAAGGCAAGUGAUAAUUCUCCUAAAAAAUUGAGGCUUUCAAUAUUUAAGCUUAUACUAAGUAAGCCACACUCACUAGUUAUCAAGUCCCCAAGUCAAUUACAAAUGCAGGGUUACUUGCUAAUUUAGAAUAGCUCAUGAUUGACCUCAUCCCCUUAAGCUUUCUUGCUGACUCGUGUAACGAACUUUAGGUCAAUAACUCCUCAAUUUUUAAAGAAGAAAGGAUAUUGGGUUUCGAGAUACCCCUUUGAACUUACUAACUCGAGUCAAAAAGAUUAUGGAGUGAAGCAUAUAGUUUAACAAGUGCAAUGUCCUUUCGUAAAUGGGGCUUAGAUCCCUAGCAUGUUGUCAUUACCUGGUUUUACUUGUUAGUAAAGUCUCCACACAAAUAUACUAAAUAUGUAUGGAAUCAACACAAUUUUUGAUAAUCUCCUUUACUGGCUCGACCACCCUCAAACAUAUCUCGCAAUAGGAUUAACUGAUAAAAUAAUGUAGGUUGAUAAAAAUUUAAGCAUAUCUCACAACCUAGUUCUACAAAUUCACAAAUCUCUCCAUCAAUCAAUAAUUUCCACAACCUAAACAACAAUUGGUC
rnacentral:lncRNA from 1 species